rnacentral:rRNA from 1 species
CAUUACUGAAUUGUUGACUUGAUGGGUUGUUGCUGGCUUUGAAGAAAAUUCAGAGCAUGUGCACACCUGUCUUGACUUCUAUUCAUCCACCUGUGCACCUUUUGUAGUCUUUUUUGGUGGCCUGGGCAAAGCAGGUGCAGCUCAGCUGUGCUUGUGUUAACCUCCCACUGAGGGACUAUGUUUUUACAUUAUACCACUUAGAAUGUAACAGAAUGUUAACAAUGGGCACACUUGUGUGGCCUAUAAUAAAAAAUCUAUACAACUUUCAGCAACGGAUCUCUUGGCUCUCGCAUCGAUGAAGAACGCAGCGAAAUGCGAUAAGUAAUGUGAAUUGCAGAAUUCAGUGAAUCAUCGAAUCUUUGAACGCACCUUGCGCUCCUUGGACAUUCCGAGGAGCAUGCCUGUUUGAGUGUCAUUAAAUUCUCAACCCCAGCAGCUUUUGUGGCUGGUCUUUGGGGCUUGGAUUGUGGAGGUUUCUGUUGGCCUUUGAAAGGUCAGCUCCUCUUAAAUGCAUUAGCGGAACCGUUUGUGAUCCGUCACAGGUGUGAUAAUUAUCUACACCCAAGUGGAUUGCUUUCUGUCUGUUCAGCUUACAAUUGUCUGUAUAGACAAAUUUAUUUGAAAACUGACCU